rnacentral:rRNA from 1 species
ACUAAGCGUACACGGUGGAUGCCCUGGCAGUCAGAGGCGAUGAAGGACGUGCUAAUCUGCGAAAAGCGCCGGCGAGGUGAUAUGAACCCUUGACCCGGCGAUGUCCGAAUGGGGAAACCCAGUGUGAUUCGUCACACUAUCGUUAACUGAAUACAUAGGUUAACGAGGCGAACCGGGGGAACUGAAACAUCUAAGUACCCCGAGGAAAAGAAAUCAACCGAGAUUCCCCCAGUAGCGGCGAGCGAACGGGGAGCAGCCCAGAGUCUGAAUCAGCUUGUGUGUUAGUGGAAGCGUCUGGAAAGUCGCACGGUACAGGGUGAAAGUCCCGUACACGAAAAUGCACAGGUUGUGAACUCGAAGAGUAGGGCGGGACACGUGGUAUCCUGUCUGAAUAUGGGGGGACCAUCCUCCAAGGCUAAAUACUCCUGACUGACCGAUAGUGAACCAGUACCGUGAGGGAAAGGCGAAAAG